UUGAGCUAACGAGCAUGUGGCAGGUUUUAAAGCGCUUACUAAUUAGGUUAGCUGGGCCUGGGCAGAUUCAAGGAGAUGAUAACUUCAGGCAACAAAUGCUCCCCCCUCUGGGGAAAGCAGAAGUCAUGGGAACAGGCAGUGUUUCAGGCCACGGGGUGACCUCCGUCAGCAAAACCUCACUCCUGGCUCAAACAAACCCAGGCUCACUGCAUUUUGCUAAAGCAAGGGACGGCAGCAAGAGGUGGCUUCAAGUAGCAGCACGCCGCGAGGAAGAAGCAUUUUGGAGCUCUGUGUGACUUAAAAUAAGGCAAGGCAGGCGCAGCCCUGGUGACUGCUCUGCCCAGCACGAGGCCCUGAGCAGCUGCCUGACCCUGCGACCGCCAGGGUGAGAUCUGCGUGCUCCGAGAGUGAUUUCAGCGCGGGCUGCAGAAGAUGGGGCUGGCAGCUGCUUGUGUGGCACCUCUGCUGAGAGCUGGCUUUAUGCCUCUCCGCCCAGCGAGAUGCUCCCACGGGCAGAGCCAACGCGUUCCUAUAGCACGAGGGCAGCGGGAUGAUGUGCUGGGGCUCCAGGGGAGACUGGAUCCAUGACGUGACCCACGGCAGGUGCUGUAGCUGCUGCUCCCGUGUUACCUUCCUCCUUCCUGAAUGCUGACAGCCUGAGGGAACAUGAUCGCUGUGUGAGAGCAAGUGCUGGGCAGCUAUAUUCAGCGUGGCAGCAGCUGCGGCGGCGGGCAGAUAACUCCAGGGCUCUCCCAACCCUGCACCCCGGGCUGUUCCUCCAGCCGUCACCUGGAUUCACUCCCUUAUUUGUCACGGUCACGUGGGUCACUAUCAGAUACAGCCCUACACACUACCAUUUUGUCCUAAAAUUGGUGAUAUUGUGCUCUUUUUACCCCCAAAAAAAGGUUGGAUAUCCAAAUAAAACGGCAUGGUGAUUGCGAGGAAAAUGAUUAAUGAACCUGCCCCUUUUACAUAUUAUACAACAGUAUCAUAAAAAGAUACAUCUGCUUAUCUAGCUUGCUUAUCAGUAGGUAAAUCUGUGAUGCUAACAGCAACAGCAUCCCAAAGCAUUCCCAAGUUCACAAAUCCACCUCUGUUUUCUGUCGCAGUGCCAUACCACACACGAUUUCUCCAAGCACGCUGUACAGUUUGGAUGACGGAGGUCUUCUGGAUCCCAGGAGGCAGCACGCUGCUAUU